rnacentral:misc_RNA from 1 species
AAAUCUAGAUAGUCUUCUUGUGGCUCUCAAUUAAAUAUGUUUAUAGAGGAAAGUCUUUAUUCUCAGGAUGCAGGUAGCUUAUACAGGAAAACGGUAUUUAUGCCUCCUCUUUUUUACCACCUCAUACCAUAUUGGCUACUGCGUUCGGCAAAUUUUUCACAUAAAUAAAUCAGAAACAAGAUAAUAAUAUUAUAUAGUACACAUGAUAACUUGAUAAUAAAAGAAAUUAAUAAUCACCUGAGGUGGUCCACUCAAUUAUUUGAUUUAUGUUCAAUCCUUCGUUAUUCGGAACCAGCCCAAUUGGAGGGGUUUGGAGGGUUCUG